GUAAAUAAUUAAGGGCGUAUGGUGGAUGCCUAGGCUCUCAGAGGCGAAGAAGGACGUGAUAAGCUGCGAAAAGCUCCGUUUAGGUGCAAAUAACCUUUGAUGCGGAGAUCUCCGAAUGGGAUAACCCAAUAUGUUGAAGACAUAUUAUACCGUAAGGUAGGCAAACGCAGGGAACUGAAACAUCUAAGUACCUGCAGGAGAAGAAAACAAACGUGAUUCCCCCAGUAGCGGCGAGCGACCGGGGAUAAGCCCAAACCGUUAUUGUUUCGGCAGUAGCGGGGUAGUAGGACUGCGACAUUGAUGAAAUAAAUGAAAUGGAACACCUUGGAAAAUGUGAUCACAGAGGGUGAUAAUCCCGUACAUGCAAGUUUAUGAAUCAUAGCAGUAUCCUGAGUAAGUCGGGACACGUGUAAUCCUGACCGAAUCCGCCGGGACCAUCCGGCAAGGCUAAAUACUCCUGAGAGACCGAUAGUGAACCAGUACCGUGAGGGAAAGGUGAAAAGCACUUCGAACAGAAGAGUGAAAUAGUCCCUGAACCCAUACGCCUACAAGCAGUCGGAGCCGCUUCGUGCGGUGACGGCGUGCCUUUUGCAUAAUGAGCCUACGAGUUACUCAUCACCAGCGAGGUUAAGUACUUCAGGUACGUAAGCCGAAGCGAAAGCGAGUCUGAAUAGGGCGUCAAGUUGGUGGUGGUAGACGCGAAACCUUAGUGAUCUACCCAUGGGCAGGGUGAAGGUUUGGUAACACAAACUGGAGGCCCGAACCGGUAAACGUUGAAAAGUUUUCGGAUGACCUGUGGGUAGGGGUGAAAGGCCAAUCAAACUGGGAAAUAGCUCGUACUCUCCGAAAUGCAUUUAGGUGCAGCCUCUGUUGUUUUGUUCUAGAGGUAGAGCUACUGAUUGGAUGCGAGGGCUUCACCGCCUAUCAAAUCCGGCCAAACUCCGAAUGCUAGAACAUGAAGACAGGGAGUGAGCCAGCGGGUGCUAAGGUCCGUUGACGAAAGAGGGAGAACUCAGACCAUCAGCUAAGGUCCCCAAUUAUAUGCUAAGUUGGAAUUAAAACGGGGUGGGACUGCUUAGACAGCUAGGAUGUUGGCUUGGAAGCAGCCAUUCAUUUAAAGAGUGCGUAACAGCUCACUAGUCGAGCGGUCCUGCAUGGAUAAUACGCGGGCAUAAGCAUAUAACCGAAGCUAUGGGAUUGUAGAUGAUACAAUCGGUAGGAGAGCAUUCCAUUCAGCGUAGAAGCAGUAUCGUGAGGUAUUGUGGAGCGGAUGGAAAAGCAAAUGUAGGCAUAAGUAACGAUAAUGCGGGUGAGAACCCCGCACGCCGAAAGAUCAAGGAUUCCCCGGCAAUGUCAAUCAUCCGGGGGUAAGUCGGAUCCUAAGGGUAAGCCGAGUGGCGAUCCCGAUGGCAAACAGGUUAAUAUUCCUGUACUGAUCAUAACUGCGAUGCAGCGACGCAGAGGUGACACUGCUGCGUACUGACGGAAUAGUACGUUGAAACCCGUAUUCUUUGAUACCGGUAGUGAAGCACGCCGGUAGAGAUGAAAGGUGAUAGUACCGCAAUGCUUCGGUUGCGCGGAUAAUGCAGGUAAGCUGACUGCCAAGAAAACCUGCUAAGCUUCAGGUAAUGAUCAUCCGUACUGUAAACGGACACACGUGAUCAGGUAGAAAAUACUAAGGCGCUCGAGAGAUUCAUGGUUAAGGAACUAGGCAAAAUGGUCCUGUAACUUCGGGAUAAAGGACGCUCUUGUGAAAGAGCCGCAGAUAAUAGGCCCAGGCGACUGUUUACCAAAAACACAUGGCUAUGCUAAUUCGCAAGAAGAUGUAUAUGGCCUGACACCUGCCCGGUGCCGGAAGGUUAAGAGGAGAGCUCAGAGGUAACUCGAAGGUUUGAAUUGAAGCCCCGGUAAACGGCGGCCGUAACUAUAACGGUCCUAAGGUAGCGAAAUUCCUUGUCGGGU
rnacentral:rRNA from 1 species